AUACAAUUUCUUUUGACCUUCCAAACCAAAGUGACUUGACAUUAAGUCUCUGCUUCCUCAGCAGGCUGUCCCUGAUCAGAAGUUUCUGACACUUAAAACAUCAGAUGAACUCUUGAUUCCAAGAAUGUGUAGCCUUCCUUCUCAAAAGGCUUAAAUUAGGUCAUGUGAAGAGGAGGAAAGAGCCAUGCAGGCAAUCUGCUUUCACUGAUGUGCCUCGUGACUCAGUCAUAAGAAACAGGAUGACUCCGUGUUUAGCAUGCCAGCACUAGAGAUCAUUGCACAGUGCAGAACUUCUCUCAAUAUUGGAAAUAAUUCUGAUAUGGUAAAGGUAUCUUGACUAUUGUGACAUUCAACUACCAACUACAACCUGUCUAAAGCUUCUGGGUGAAACUCUGGUCUCUGAAACAAAGACCUCUCAAUGCUGCCAGGAUGGGAAUUUGUUCCAGUAAGGCUAACUGGGAAUGUGGACAACUCUUGCUUGUAAAGUAUUUUAAGUUCUGUAGAAAGUAAGAGGGUUCAAAAAACCAGAACUAUGGAUGAGGGAGAACAAACUCAUGUUUUCCAGGGUGUUUUAAAAUUGCAUUAGAGAAAGCUACGUGCAAGUUCUGCUUUGGGUCUUUACAGAGUACAUGUACCAGCUUCUGGCAAGUCCUGUUCCAUCUUUUGGCUGGCUAGUGUCUCCUUUUAACCCAUGAAAUUGAUGGUUUGUCUUUCUAUUCCAUUGCAAGGAGUCUAACAGAGUGAGAUUUGAGGAAGUGCACAGAGGAAACCUCAAAACAAAGGGGACUCUUUAAGCCAAUUAAAGCUGCUCCCUUGUUAGUUUUGUAAACACAGCAGCAGGUAAGCAUUUCAGAUUAAUAACCUGCCAAACACCUACCACCCUAACAAUGAAACUGGAAACUUAUUUCAAUGUUGCUUCUAAUUAGAUUGCUCAACUUCGGAAUGCUGCAUCAAACUAGUUCAAAAUUCCAGUGACUAUUCUAGAAAUUGAUGAACAAGACUGUCAUUAACUUCAGUUCCUGUGUGUACAGCAGACCAGGAUGAAGUUGGAAGUUUUCCUGUCUGCAGAGUAAUAUAAAGCUCACAGAUCUUCCUAGUGAUCCUGGUAUAACUGUAUUUUCACUACAGCUCUACCCAUCUUUCAAAGAGAAUAAUGCUCUGCUAGGAAGACUUCCUAGGCAGAAACACAAUGGUGAGAAUAAAGCUGGAAAAAGCUCUGGGAGCUAGGAAGAUGUUGCACAGGGAAAUUUGAGGACUGUAGGAAAGUAGGCCAGCCUUUGACAUGAGAAGUUUUGCCUGCAAGUGUUGGAGUGCUUGAGCUACAGGUGUAUACUUACACUGACCACAAACAUGAAUUUCAUAACUCUGUAAUUGUUCUGGAGUUAAUACUGUCAGUUAAUAUUGUCUCUUCUUGCUUAUGUUCACUGUAUUGCCUCGUUUCAGGAGACUUCUGAAGAAUAGGCUACUACACAGCCUUCAAACGAAGUUCAUGGAAAAACUUACCCUAAACUGAUAAACAGCUACAGGACAAUUAAUCCUAUAGAGAUUUUUAUAAGACUUCUCUGUACAGAAGCAGAUAAAAGGUGAUAUCUUGUUUGAUUUGUAAGAUUUAAAAUAGAAAGCAAAUGUCUUUACUCCUGUGUUGAGAGGCAAGACAUGGCACUUGAACCACCCUAUGAGAAUACACCAACUCAUUUGGGUUUUCUCCUCAUUGCUGCUCUGACUGAAACUUCACAGAAAGAACUGCUUAAAGAAGUUGGACUGUGGUCCCUCAAGAGCUGGAUGUGAAUCUGCUGCUGCAAACCAGGACUGGAUAUUUCUAACCUACAGCAUGGAUGCUUUCCAAAUGCUGGCAAACCACACUAAACAGGGUAACUAUCUACAGGAACCUUAUUCUAGCACAUUUUGAAAAAAUAAUCCUGUGCUAGUUGAUCUCAGAACAAAGGUAAAGAGGCAACCCAAAAAUUGUUAAGGAAGUUGUUGAGGGGGAGCCAUCAAAAUAAAACAAUCCUGAACUUUGA